UACAUUCUGCCAGAAGGUCUGCCAGAACAAUCCUAGUUCAGUCUCAGUUCAGUUGUUUAAAAACAGAGCAGACAUACACUGAGUCAGUCAUACUCUAGGAGGGAACUGUAAGUCUUGACUAUUAAAGCCAUUGUUUCUCAUCAGCACAGAUGCUGCUCCCUGUAUUCAUUGUAUUUUCUCUUCUAAAAGAGAAUGCUGGUGAAGAUAUCAUAAAACCAGCCUUUACAGAGAAACAGGUUUUGGCAGGAAAAGAUGUUACACUGAUCUGCAACUACACGGUCAAUGUCAACAAUUUGCAGUGGUAUCGUCAGUAUCCUGGAUCCAAACCUGAGCACCUCAUUUCACACACUGAAAGCACCCCCAAUACAGACCAGGUUCGCCGUCUGAACGCUGCAGCUGAUAAAGCCACCAAAAGUAUGAAUUUGACAAUCUAUUCUACAGAAGUGAAAGACUCUGCCAUGUACUACUGUGCCCUGCAGCCCACAGUGACAGGAAACACAACUACACUGUACAAAAACAGAAGAAUGCUGGUGAAGCAGGUUUUGGCAGGGAAAGAUGUUACACUGAUCUGCAACCACACUGGCACUGUUAGCAAUUUGCAGUGGUAUCAUCAGUUUUCCGCAUCCAAACCUGAGCACCUCAUUAUGUUCUUGGAGACCAUCCCGAAAUCAAAGCCUGAUCUCCGUCUGACAGCUGCAGCUGAUAAAAUAACCAAAACUAUGAAUCUGACAAUCUCUUCUACAGAAGUAAAAGACUCUGCCAUGUGA